GAUGAACGCUGGCGGCGUGCCUAAUACAUGCAAGUCGAGCGAACAGACGAGGAGCUUGCUCCUCUGACGUUAGCGGCGGACGGGUGAGUAACACGUGGAUAACCUACCUAUAAGACUGGGAUAACUUCGGGAAACCGGAGCUAAUACCGGAUAAUAUAUUGAACCGCAUGGUUCAAUAGUGAAAGACGGUUUUGCUGUCACUUAUAGAUGGAUCCGCGCCGCAUUAGCUAGUUGGUAAGGUAACGGCUUACCAAGGCAACGAUGCGUAGCCGACCUGAGAGGGGGAUCGGCGACACGGGAAGUGAGACACGGUCCAGACUCCUACGGGAGGCAGCAGUAGGGAAUCGUCCGCAAUGGGCGAAAGCCUGACGGAGCAACGCCGCGUGAGUGAUGAAGGUCUUCGGAGCGUAAAACUCUGUUAUUAGGGAAGAACAAAUGUGUAAGUAACUAUGCACGUCUUGACGGUACCGAAUCAGAAAGCCACGGCUAACUACGUG
rnacentral:rRNA from 1 species